UACGUAGGGUGCGAGCGUUAAUCGGAAUUACUGGGCGUAAAGCGUGCGCAGGCGGUUCGCAAAGUCUGAUGUGAAAGCCCCGGGCUCAACCUGGGAACUGCAUUGGAAACUAACGGGCUCGAGUGUGGCAGAGGGGGGUGGAAUUCCACGUGUAGCAGUGAAAUGCGUAGAGAUGUGGAGGAACACCGAUGGCGAAGGCAGCCCCCUGGGCUAACACUGACGCUCAGGCACGAAAGCGUGGGGAGCGAACAGG
rnacentral:rRNA from 1 species